GACGAACGCUGGCGGCGUGCUUAACACAUGCAAGUCGAACGGUGAAGCCCUUCGGGGUGGAUCAGUGGCGAACGGGUGAGUAACACGUGAGCAACCUGCCCCUGGCUCUGGGACAACCACUGGAAACGGUGGCUAAUACCGGAUACGACCCGCCUCGGCAUCGAGAGCGGGUGGAAAGUUUUUCGGCUGGGGAUGGGCUCGCGGCCUAUCAGCUUGUUGGUGAGGUGAAGGCUCACCAAGGCGACGACGGGUAGCCGGCCUGAGAGGGCGACCGGCCACACUGGGACUGAGACACGGCCCAGACUCCUACGGGAGGCAGCAGUGGGGAAUAUUGCACAAUGGGCGACAGCCUGAUGCAGCGACGCCGCGUGAGGGAUGACGGCCUUCGGGUUGUAAACCUCUUUCAGCUCCGAAGAAGCGAAAGUGACGGUAGGAGCAGAAGAAGCACCGGCUAACUACGUG
rnacentral:rRNA from 1 species